GGUUUUCUAAAAAUUAAUUUUAUAAUUAGGGUUUUCUAAAGAUUAGGGUUUCUAGAUUUUUAAUUAGGGUUUACCUAAUUAAUACAUUUAAUACACGACAUAAAUUAUAUAAUACUCUUAUAAAACAAUCUUGCACUCUAAUUUGGAUCUCAAAUUAGGGUUUAACAUUAUUACUAGGGUUUGGUCAUAAUACACCGUAAUUGACCAACCAUUAUCA
rnacentral:lncRNA from 1 species